ACUAAGUUGACAGAUGUCUCACCACUAACGCAUAGUUCUGAGUACGUUCACAUGACGCACUCUACUUCUAGUAAAA